rnacentral:rRNA from 1 species
GAUAGUUGAUCCUGGCCCAGAAUGAACGUUGGCGGCGUGGAUUAGGCAUGCAAGUCGAGCGAUCGUAGCAAUACGGGAGCGGCAAACGGGGUAGGAAUACCUCGGAACAUACCCUUAGGUCGGGGAUAGCGGCGGGAAACUGCCGGUAAUACCCGAUGAUCUCGAGAGAGCAAAGGUUUACUGCCUAGGGAGUGGCCGAGGCGAUAUUAGCUAGUUGGUGAGGUAAUGGCUCACCAAGGCUUCGAUGUCUAGGGGGCGUGAGAGCGCGACCCCCACCACUGGGACUGAGAAACUGCCCAGACACCUACGGGUGGCUGCAGUCGAGAAUCUUCGUCAAUGGGGGAAACCCUGAACGAGCGACGCCGCGUGUGGGAUGAAGGCCUUUGGGUUGUAAACCACUGUCAGGGGGGAUGAAACCGCAAGGUUGACAGAGCCCCAGAGGAAGCACGGGCUAAGUUCGUGCCAGCAGCCGCGGUAAUACGAACUGUGCGAACGUUAUUCGGAAUCACUGGGCUUACAGGGUGCGUAGGUGGCCGGACAAGUCAGGUGUGAAAUCCCUCAGCUCAACUGAGGAACUGCGCUUGAAACUGUUUGGCUAGAGUGAGCUAGGGGUGCUUGGAACUGCCAGUGGAGCGGUGAAAUGUGUUGAUAUUGGCAGGAACACCGGAGCCGAAAGGGAAGCACUGGGGCUUAACUGACACUGAGGCACGAAAGCCAGGGGAGCAAACGGGAUUAGAUACCCCGGUAGUCCUGGCCGUAAACUAUGAGAACUGGGCGGGGGAGUGCUUGCACAUCCCGGCCGUAGCGAAAGCGUUAAGUCUCCGCCUGG